CCCUCUUUCAAAAAAAUUAAAAGAAAGUGGAGACAGAAGUGUCACCAUCCAGCAGCAGGGGAUGUGGACAUCUGGGGGAGGAGAGCAUCAUGCAGAAGUUUUCGUUUCUACAAUGUUAAAUGUAUUCCAUGGGAAAACUUCAGCCACAGAAUUACUUGGGCCAUGCGGAGGGAGAUGGCAGCUCUGUCCCAACCAUUCACAGUGCGUGGUCUUCUACAGGAGUGAUUUGGGUUUGGUCCUGCCUUCAUCAGCAAGACACAGACACGAAUGGGAGGAGACCCCAAACUCCACGGUGUGGUUGAGGUUCCUGCAUCCAGGAGCAGUGGCUGUGGCACACAGGGACAGGGGCAAAGACAGGGCACACGCUGCUCUGCCCCAACUCUCCUCGGACUUGCUGUGGUUCACUGCAGGAAGCCCCAUCCCUAUCUGCCAACCCAGAGUGCCUAAGGGGCUGUGAUGGAGGCUCUCCUCAUCUGUACACAUCUCCAAUUCACAUCCCCAGGACUCAGAACCAGCACUCAGAGCCUUUUUCUGCAGCAGAGAGCACAGACUGAGCCAGGUGCUUGCAAAGAGCUUCCAGGAGCAUCCAGUGAAGCAAGGAAGGAGCUGCAACAUGUGCAGCUGAGGUCCCUCGUAUUGCACUUCCCAGCAGAAGUGCUCUGGGUCCUGCAAAGCUUCCUUCUGUGUUCCUUUGGAGUUGUUUUCCUCUGGAUGUACAGCCACAGAAACAUGCCGUGCACUAAGUUGAUGAAGCUUGGUUAAUCUUCUAAUAGGCGCAGCAGUGAUGGAUGGAAACCGUGCUGUCUUCCAGCUCAACUUAAAAGUCAAAUAAAAAUAAUCAUGCUGAUGGAAAAAUAUCAUUCUUCCAGCAAAGGCAGAUAAUAUAUGAUCUGUUCUAUCUGCCAAGCACCCGUCCCUGGUAAAGUUCCCAUGCGCUUCAGCAGGGGCAGAGUUCAGCUCACACUGUACACUCUCCCAUCCACCAUACACUGGGGCUUCAGUGUAAACAACCCGUGGAGCUUUUUCAACAUCUGCAUUAUUUCUAAUACAAUUCCCACACCAAGAGCUGUGCUGCAAUGGAGGCAGAGGUGGCCUGCAGCAGGGACUUCAGAGUGUGGGAUUCAGGGAGCACCUCCUACAGGUUGGAGUCAGCACACUGCAUUUACAUUGCAUGGAUCCUGCAAACAUGAAUUGCAAACUGUGCCUGGGGAGACUGAAGCUUUCUGCAGGGCUGCUGUGCUGCUGAGGGCUCUGCAAAGGGCAACAGACCCAGAAUUCAGGUGGGAUGAAGCUGGAGCUGUGCUCAGAGUGGGGAUAUUCAGCAGCGCUGUGCUUUGGUUUCGCUGUGAUGGCGCUUCACCAUGCCCCAGGUAAAUCAUCUCUAAUCCGAUUUGCUGAGCUCAGCUGCCUUCACAGCAGGAUGAGGGAUGGCAGGACAAGCCCAGCAGGUUAUUUCUGCCAUACUUCUUCCAUCGCUUCAUACCCACAGCAAAUGACACCUAUAUAUCUUGGCAGGAAAAUGAAACGUGGUGGGGACGAGUUUUUCUCCUUUCCACCAAAACCUCAAAGCUGAUGCACCAACACUGCCCACCCCAUCCUCAUCCCCAUGCAGGUUCCACACACAGCCCCAAGGGCUGAGUGAUGGAGAGGGGACCGCUCACAGCCACCAUCAUUGCUUCAAACAAACAGGCUGAGAGCUUAAUGAUUUCAAGGUAAAGCGCUUUUAUUAAGACAACACAGGGAACUUUUUUCAACCACAGCUGACAUCACUAUAAUAAAUCACCAUCAUGUCUUGUGGGAUUGAAAAAGCCAAAAUACUGUCAGAACUGAUUUUUCUGGCUACUCAUGCCUCCAGAACAAACCAUGUGUUUUUAAUCAACAAAUCUUUGUUUUGCAUUUCUAAGACCCUAGCACUCUUUAAAUAGUUAGCAUUUACCAGAGGGAUAUUUUAAAUUCAGCACACUGCUUCCUUACUGGAGAGAUUAGGAAACAGGACACCACAUUACAGACUUACCGGGCUUGUCCAGGGCUUUUGGAAAUUUGUUUUUGUUAUAUUUAUGCAGUACAGAGAAGGGCUUUCCCAUACUUGUUUCUAGCUUCCUUCAGCCAUUUCUCUCCCCAAAAUGAGGACGGCCUCUGCUUGCACAUCACAAUGCAUUGCGCCUUGUCCUUUGCCUGCAGAGGAUGUGGGCAUGGAGCAUCCCGGUGCCACCCUUGUGCUCACUUGUUUGUGUAAUUAGGGGUUCUGGGAAGGUCUGGGGGGUCCUGCUACAUUCUCAAGGUCGGGCUGAAACUGGAGCCACCAGGAUCCCCUUUCUCACCCUGCUGGACCCCCUCCUGUGCUGCCGGAUUGGCACAAAUGUCAGAGCUGAGAAUAACCCCAGGCCCAUGCCAGGCACAAAGAUGCCAGUGCCAAUCAGCUGCGUCCAGCAAGGGGUGGGUGAGCAGAGCUUAGGACAGGAGAUGAACACUGCUCCAUCUACAAAGCACGGCUUCUUUGGUGUGGGAAGGGCAGGGUGACCCAAUGGAGGAGACCCCACAGGCAGUGGGAUGGACAUGAGUGGAAGUUUGAUGUUGGAGGGAGUGCAGGGACCCUCAGGCUCAAGGUCAGAACUUCUCCCAGGGCAAUGCGUGCUGACCCCGGGUUGAGACCCCCCGCCAUCCCCAGACCCCCCUCAGCCACAUGAAAGCAGCCAGGAGCACGCAGCCAUGCGCUGCAUCACUCCCCCUCAUCCCCCCGAGAUCAAAGCCCACGCCGGGGGCCAGAGCAUGUGAGGGGCAGGUGUCCAUCCCCCCCACGGGCCACCAUUCAUCACACGCUGUGUCCCACAAGGAGAUCAAACCCGGCCUCCCGCGGCUGUUGGUUAAAGCCCGCCUUCCAGUUACCCUAAUUAAAGUUUUCUCCCGGCUGACUGCCGUCCCGUGAGCGCUUCUUUCACUCCCCGAAACAAAGGCUGCAGUGAGGAGCCCUCAUCCAGUGCCAGGACCGCUCUGUUUGCCUCCUUUUGAACUGGGACACUCUACUGGAAAGUGGCAUUUCCAAUUUGGGAGAAGCCAUGGAGCCGUGAAUCUUUGGAUUCUCCCCAGCCAAGAUCAUGGCUUUAUAAAGGAAAUCCAGGACAGAACCAAACCAAGGUGUCUAAAUGCAAGCUCGGUGCAAGCCACACAAUGAAGAAGCUUUAAGGUUUGCACCAAAGACCAGAAAUCCAUGCCCUGGGUCCGUGCUCUGCAAGAACCCAACAGAACCCAACAGGCGGUGCUGCCCCACGUUCUGCUCUUGGCCCUGCAUUACAAAUAACAGCUGCAAAGUUUGCUCCCUGCAGCACACGGAGGGAAGCGGGCAGAUAAAGGUCUGCACGACCUGCUGCUGGGGGAGAUGGUAUCUAAAUAGGAUUUUUGUUUAAAACCCAAGAUAAUAGCGAUAACGCUAAUAAUAAUAAUCCUAAUAAUCCCUCUUUUCAGGCUGCUUCAAAGCCCAAAUCUUAUCCUACACAAGAAAAUUAUUCUAAGCCUCAGAGAAUGCAUUGAAAAUUAAUAUUGAUUAUUAGGAAUAAUCAUCUGACAAGGAACGGCACUGCAGUGCCUGGGGAAGGGAUUCCUCCAGGGCCAGGUGAUAAUCACACUGCUCUUUCUGAGCAGUGCCCAGACCGGGUUAACCCCCUCUGUGCCAGCCCUGCUGUGCCUCAGGGUGCUGCAGUGCCUGGUUCACAGCCCCACACAAUGCGCUGCUAUGCCACUUAGUGCCACACAAAGCAAUGCUGAAAGGGCUUUCAGAACUCACCGUGUUGAGGCAGAAGUCUAUGGGAGAUGUUUAAUACUAAUUCUAUUAGGCAUCUGAGUUAAUGAAUCACAACUGUAAGAAAUCAUGAUAAUCCAGCAGGCAUUAGUGACAGAUUAGCUUCAAAGCUACCAUAAAAGUGCCAUAAUGCUUACCUAGCAGCAUGAUUAAUGCCAGCAAUACAUAAUGUCAUUAUGAGGAAUGGAGCGGCGUGGCGGCAGCUGACAACCCCUUUGCUCUGACCGUGGCCAAAGCAGUGCAGUGCUGAUAGAUCUCCAUAGGAUGGGUGCUGCUGGGGUGCUGAGCUCAUGGUCAGCACAUCCUCCAUAGCUGAGAUGCAACCAGAGCUCAUAACCCAUUGCUCCCAAGGAUCCCUAUAGGAGCUCCCUGCCCAGCCUAUGGACAGCAAGGUGCAGCACCACGCAUGGCAGCAGGGAUGAGGGUGGAACAAGUUGCUAUUGAAUGGAACUAGACUGCUCAUUACGGCUUUUGUUUUUCUACAUCUUUAUUGCUCAGGUUUGCUUAAUUCUGGAGUGGAUGCCUGCCAAAUUGUCUAUCAAAUUACCUACUGGCAAGCAAAACAAGAUCAGUUCACUUGAGUGCAGCCCUCUUCUAUUUGACUUAUAGCCAAGCAAAAUAUGGGCUUAAUCAAGGGAGAAAUUGGACAUGAUGUUUCAAUGAAAGAUAGCAGGGUACUGUCUGUUCAAUGGAAACAGGUGAAGACACGGCCUGGGACAGAGAGCACAGGUUUGGAUGCUUUGGUGCAAGAUGGGGCUGCUCCUGUGAGACAUGGCAUUUCUGUACCCACAGAUGAUGGGAUGUUUAGCUCUUCCUGCUAGUUUACCCUCUGCAGAGCCAUGCAGGUGUAUGAGGUCCAUGCACUGUUGCAGCAUCUCCAUGUCUCUAUUACAUGGCUCAAGCAAGUAGCUCACGAUGCUCCCUGUUCAAAGCCCCCUGAGAAUACCUACAAGAUGGUUGUACUGGAUGAUCUCACUGGUCUUUUCUAACUUCCAUGGUUUUCUGAUUCCAUGAAGAGCACAGAGCUUGCUUUGGAACAGAGCACUCUGCCUUGUUCCAGGGGUCCUCUGAGGGUUACACUGACAUUGCCCACCACUCCUGACUUGGAGGAGCACUGGGCUUUGAUUUCCACACUAUUCCCAGCUCCAGAGGUUCUGUCUCCAUUCCCAGGACACGUGGUGGUGUUUUCAGUCCCCGGCAACAUGGGAGUGUGGGAGAUUUCUCUUCUUCUUCCCCCUUCUUUGAUCUUUAGUGGUUUCCAGCACUCAUUCAAGCUCAGGAAUUUGACUCCUGAAGGCUAAAAACUGGAAGGUAAAUAAAAAUAACCCCAAAGUUAAUUAUAUACUUAACAAGUCAUGUUUUUUUUAAGCCUGUCUCAUUCCUUGUGGGGGUCUGACUCAUGGUUCUGAGCACUUGCA